rnacentral:rRNA from 1 species
UAGCGUAAGGGUGCAAGCGGUUUGUCCGGAAAUUAUUGGGCGUAAAGAGCUUCGUAGGCGGUCUGUCGCGUCGGCUGUGAAAUCCCGGAGCUCAACUCCGGGUCGUGCAGGUCGAUACGGGCAAACUGGGAGUACUGCAGGGGAGACUGGAAUUCCUGGUGUAGCGGUGAAAUGCGCAGAUAUCAGGAGGAACACCGGUGGCGAAGGCGGGUCUCUGGGCAGUAAACUGACGUGGAGGAAGCGGAAAGCGUGGGGAGCGAACAGGA